rnacentral:misc_RNA from 1 species
CAGAGUUGCAAAACUCCCACAAACCAUCGCGAAUCUUACCCGUACGGUUGCCUCGGCGCUGGCGGUCCGGACAGGCCCUCGGGCCCCCCGGAUCCUCGGGUCUCCCGCUCGCGGGAGGCUGCCCGCCGGAGUGCCGAAACCAAACUCUUGAUAUUUUAUGUCUCUCUGAGUAAACUUUUAAAUAAGUCA